rnacentral:lncRNA from 1 species
CCUGUGACACUGUUUUUAACGGCUCUAAGCCUCAACUUUCUCAUCUGUAAAAUAGCUAUUAGGUAGCAUUUAUCUCAUAGAGCUCAGGGAGCAAAUGAGACAAUGCAGGUGAAACGGGUGACCCAGUGCUUGGCACUUAGUGAGCAGUGGAUACAUGGGAGCCAUGGCUUAUUUUUAGGACACACAGAAUGACUUACAUUAGCUGAAGCCCAGGAACAUAGCGAACCCCAGGAGGCCCAGAGGUGUCCUCCGCGUGCACCCAGGAUCAGGAAGUGCUGGCCCUGCCGUCAUGCCCUCGCCAAGAGCCCUGCCCUCCUUUCUCUUUCCAGUCUGGCUCAGCCCGGAGAGGAUUCUCCCGUGAGUUGGAGAAGUUAAAUACCUGCGCUCAAAACCUAGAGCGCAAGAGAGGAAAUACGGCCGCGGCUACCUCGCCCACUCGUGGAGUCCCACCCCGAGGCCCUAGACCUUCGGGGCUCAGCUAGCCCCUUGGAUUCCAAGGGAAAUCAGGAAUCACGGCAGUCCACUCCAUCGAUUUAAGAACGAGGAAACCAGGGGAGGUGUAACUUGUCCAAGGUCCUACAGAGCAGACGCGCUCAGAGAGGGGAAGAGACUUGCCCAAGGUCACAUAGCAAGUUUGAGCCAGAGCCCAGGCCAGCACACAGAUUGCCUGAGUGCCCUGCCAUCAGGGCCCCUGUAGGGCUUGGAAGAGGAAGAGGCUGAUGCAGGUGCCCAGUGCGACCAGCACAGAGAGCCCCCGGGACCUGGCUCUAGGAUGCUGACUGUGGGCAGGUUAACUGGGGGAAGACCCGCUGCCUCUCCAGGCAUGUACACUUCCUGUCUCUCAGGAGCCUGACGCCUGGAGAGGAGGAGGGAGUCGCUGCCAGGGCUCUGGAAACCCUGAGUAAUGGACAGGGGGGCCUCUGCCAGCUCCACCCGGGGAUGGCAGCUGCCCCCAGCAGGGAGCACCAACCACACACGUGGGAGGAACAGAUUGCUUAGACAGAUGCAGAAAGGCAGCCCAGAUUCUGAAACCGGUGGGAGAAUUGGGGCUCAGAAAAAACUAAAUAAUAGUAUAUUAUUCAUAAUAUAAUAUUUUAUUAUGUAUAAUAUAUUAUUACUACAUUGUAUUGAGCCCUUAGGAUGUGCCAGGCACUACUUCACAAUGUCUCGUGUAAUCCCCACAGCAAGCCUAGGAGGUGGAUAUUAAUAUUAUACCCACUUUCCAGAUGAAGAUACUGAGGCUUCAGGAGGUUCAGUCCCUUGCCCAAGGUUGCCAGGAAGGAAAGCUCACAAAAGAGGGUUUUUUUGGGGACUGGAAGACCUCUAGGUUUCCUUCUUCUUUCCUAACCCCAAGUUUUCAUACCAGCCCAGGCUUCCUCCUGCCUCCUCCCGGAUCUGCAGGCCGCCUUCCCCUCCUCCUCCCUCCUCCUGUUCUCAGUCUUCCCCAUCGCCUCCCCUUCUUCAAACCCUCGGCCCCUAAGGCUCAGAGGCUGAAGACACAGGGAUAGACUCUCCCUGACGCUGCACUUGGACCGCUAGCUGAGGAAGGUUAAAGAAAGCAGGUUUUGCAGCUCUUUGCAUAACAACAACAAAAAUUCUUUUCCCAAGAAAAGUGGUGUGCGCUCAGCAGUGCCUCCUCCAUGCACCUCUGAACACCCACCGCCCAAGACCAGGAGUCCCGGUUGUGGUUCAAGAGAAGGAAGGCAUUUCUAGUGGUUCAAGCUUAUUCGACAGCAGAGUGGGCAGCCUCUUGGGGCUCUGGGCCUCCCGUCACUGCAGAUGUCUCAGCACAGGCGGGAGGUCCCCUGUCCGAUGGUGGUGCCAAAGAAAUUCCUGGAUUCCCUUUCUCUUACUUGCUGAGAAAUCAAUUCCAGCCCUGGGAUUCCAGCUACAUUACCGCAAAAACAUCGGUCCUACUUGUAAUCAAAUUGGAUUCAGAGUUAGUGUGUACGUUUCUCGUCCAUCUCUGAAUAGAAAUCUAUCAAGGUGGCUGAUGUCAAGGGGAGGAGAAAGGACCCCUAGCUCUGUCAGGCGGGAGGACAGCGGCCUGGGGUGGGAAGGGAUACAUUGUGGUGGUAAUCUUGGGGUGGGCAGGGGGUUGAGAAAGGAAGGAAGACAUGGAAAAUGGCAUCUGGUGGAUUGUGGGGGCGCCUGCAGCAGAGGACUCUAGCAUGGGGAAGCAUUAGAGAAAGCCUGUUCCCAGAGUUCCAGGGGCCAAGCAGGGUCCCCAGGGGUCUCUCCCCCGUGGGGUUCAUCCCAGCCUUCUAGAUUUCCUGUCUUCAGCCUUGCUUCCCGCUCAAGCAGGGCCUUGAGAGGGUUAUGUUCAGGCGAGGAGCCCUCUUCCUCCAGCCCUGCACAGCCUGGACAUGGGUCUUUGGGCCCAGAGGUGUGUGAAGGAUGCCUCCUCCUGCCUAUGUCUCUGCCUAACGCCGGGUCCCAGCACCCUCCUUCCCAGAGCCUGUCACAAGAAUUAAGAAGUGGAGCGACGGCCUCAUCCCUCAGGGAAGGAAAGAGCUCCCCAAGUGAACCAAGGGCUCUCUCUGUGAGGCCUUCCGUGGCACAGGAUCGGGGGGAGAUUGGGGUGCAGUGGUCGUCCGGGGAGCCCUCCCAGGCCAGGCUUGGUGAAGCUACCGUGGCUUCUCAGGGUGUAGACCCAUGACUAUGAUGUCACAUGGGAUUUGGAGGCAUGGCUGGCACCUUGAGCUCAUUUCUUUUGGGACCUUGAAGGACUGAGACAGGAGGGCCUCGUGCCCUCAUGUCCCCACCCUGAAACCUCCUUUCCCCCAUAUGCUGCUCAGGCAAACAUACCCCUCCCCCACUUCUCCUACCCAAGAUAUGAAUGAUCCUUUCCCCCUUAGUAUUACCAUCACCGCCCUCAAACCCCGGUCCAUAACCAGUUGCAAUAUGUCAACCUAAUUUGAACCUGAUUCAAAUAAGCCGAAAGGAAGAUAUAUUUGUGAUACAAUUGAAAAUUUGGACACUGACUGGAUAUUUGUUGAUUUAAAGACAAUUUUUUAAUAAUGCUCUUUUUUUAGAACAGUUUUAGAUUUAUAGCAAAAUUAAGAAAAUAGUGCAGAAAGUUCCCACAUACCAUCCCUCCCCACCCAGUUUCCCCUAUUAUUAAUAUCUUCCAUUUGUAUAGAUACAUUUGACACAAUUAAUGAACCAAUUUUGAUACAUUAUUGUUAACUAAAGGCCAUAGUUUACUGAAAUUUCCUUAGUUUUUACUUAGUACCCUUUUUCUGCGCCAGGAUCCCCUCCAGGAUCCCACAUUACAUUUAGUUAUCCUGUCUCUUCAGGCUCUUCUCGGCUGGGACAGUUUCUUAGACUUUCCUUAUUUUCGAUGACCUUGGCAGUUUCGAGAAGUACCGGUCAGAUAUUUUGUAGAACGUCCCUCUAUUGGAAUUUGAUGUUUUUCUCAUGGUUAGACUGGGGUUUGGGGUUUGGGAGAGGAAGAUCACAGAGGUAAAGAGCCAUUCUCAUCACAUCCUGUCAGGGGUGCAUAGUAUCGGCAUGAUGUGUGACUGUUGACAUUGACCUUGAUCACCGGCCUGAGGUGGUGGUGGUCAGGUUCUCCACUGUAGUUACUCUUUCCCUCACUUUCCAUCUUCUUUGGAAGGAAGUCACUAUGGCCAGCCCACACUGAAGGGGUGGAAGCUAUGCUGCCCGCUCCCCAUUGAGGGCGGAGUAUCUACAUAAGUUAUUUAGAAUUCUUCUGCACGAGAGGUUUCUCUCUUCUCCCUCAUUUAUUUAUUUAUUCAAUUAUUUAUACCAGCAUGAACUCUGGGAUAUUUAUUUUAUACUUUGGGUAAUAAUCCCAUACUACCAUAUUUAUUUUGUUGCUCAGUUGUUCUAACUUUGGCCAGUGGAGCUAUGUCAGUUGGCUCGUGUGUCCCUUUGACAUAACCCCACCAGUGUGGGAUUUUUGUUUUCCCUUUGUUUAGCACUUCCAUACUUUCUGGCCCUGUAAGACACUCCAAGUUCAUCUGGCAUAUUUCCUGCCCAGUCCUGGAGUCAGCCAUUUCUCCAAGGAGCCCUGGUUUGUUUUCCUGGAGAAUGGUUCUGGAAGCCUAGAUCUGGGUGCUGGAUACCUAUAGAAUAUUUAUGGCUGAAAUGAUAUGUCUGCGAUUUGCUUCAAAAUAAUAUGGGAAGAGAUGGGACAAGAUUGGCCAUGCAUUGCGCAUUGUUGAGGCUGGGUGAUGGAAUACACAGGGGCUCUUUAUAGUGUUCUGUCUACUUAGUAUAUGUUUGAAAUGUCUGGAGUAAAAAUUUUAAAAUAAUAAAUCAAAACUCAGUCCCAAUCACCUCCUCUAGAAGCCCUUCUUGGUGACACUCUCUGGCCUGGCGUCUGCCCCUUCCUCCUGCUGGGUGUUUCCAUCCUUUCCGCGCUGGAGCGCUGCUCUAUAGGUGUCCUGGCCUCAGCUCACUGCCUGCCUGAGGACGGGGUGUCUCCUUGGAGCGGUGCACCACUGCAGGAGUCUGCAGGGGCUCCGCACCAGAGAGGGAGAGCAGCCCCCCCUAGCCGUGCCCAGGUGCUGCGGUGUGGCAGGCCCCAUGCCAGGCACCUUCACAGGUACAGUCCCAGCAAGUGGGCAUCAUUCUUACUCUGAGUUUAUGGAUGAGGAAACUGAGGCUAAGAGAACCAUUGAGUGCCCCUGACUGGGCAGCUUCCGACCCUUCUGAGCCCACCCUAGGGAGAAGGGAUCCAGGGUGCUAAAUGUCUCCAUCUGCCCUUCCACACCCACUCUCCAACCUUCUCCCCCCGCCUGUGCGCCCAGAGCCUGACCCUCUGGACUGCAUCACUCAGCUCUCCGUCUUCUGGCUCCCCG